AGAGUUUGAUCAUGGCUCAGAACGAACGCUGGCGGCGCGUCUUAAGCAUGCAAGUCGAACGGCAAGGAAGAUGCUUGCAUCUUCCCCAGAGUGGCGGACUGGUGAGUAACACGUGGGUGACGUACCCUUUUGAUGGGGAUAGCUACUAGAAAUAGUAGAUAAUACCGAAUACGCUUGGUAACGCUAGAGGUUACUAAGGAAAGGAAGCUCAGGCUUCGCAAAAGGAACGGCUCGCGGCCCAUUAGCCAGUUGGUGAGGUAAAAGCCCACCAAAGCGAUGAUGGGUAUCCGGCCUAAGAGGGCAAACGGACACAUUGGGACUGAGAUACGGCCCAGACUCCUACGGGAGGCAGCAGCUAAGAAUAUUCCGCAAUGGACGAAAGUCUGACGGAGCGACGCCGCGUGGAUGAGGAAGGCCGAAAGGUUGUAAAAUCCUUUUGAAUUGGACGAAUAAGUAUAACAGGUAAUGGUUAUAUGGUGACGGUACAAUUUGAAUAAGCAACGGCUAAUUACGUGCCAGCAGCCGCGGUAACACGUAAGUUGCGAGCGUUGUUCGGAAUUAUUGGGCGUAAAGGGCAUGUAGGCGGUUAUUCAAGCUUGAUGUGAAAUCCCCGGGCUUAACCCGGGAACUGCAUUGAGAACUAGAUAACUAGAGUCACUGAAGGGUAACCGAAUUCCAGGUGUAGGGGUGAAAUCUGUAGAUAUCUGGAAGAAUACCAAUGGCGAAGGCAGGUUACAGGCAGAUGACUGACGCUGAGGUGCGAAGGUGCGGGGAGCAAACAGGAUUAGAUACCCUAGUAGUCC
rnacentral:rRNA from 1 species